UUCCAGAUUAAUCCAUAGAGAAAGAAAUUCAACAAGAGGGGACACUCGGCAAAAACUGGCAACAGGAAACACGUCACCAUACGUCACGCUAUACUUUUGACACCGAACGUUAGCUGCCGCGAGCAUCGAAAAAAAAAGAAAGUGAACUUAAGUUAACAGGCAUACAUUUAUUUUUUUUAAUUCUUUGCCGCGAAAACUAAAACGUUUUGCGUAUGAAUGAACUUAAGCUUUGCGACUUAUUUUCCUUGCCUUACCUAGCCACAGGUCAAUGUCGCGCCAGAUACAUGCGUCAUCCGCCAGACACUCCCCCGAAGCCAGCGAGGAUGGCUGCGCGCGCGUUUGAGCGCUCGCGCGCGGCGACCCGUCUGUCUCAUUCUUUUUUUCUUUUUUAAAUGUAACCUGGUUUAUUGGGCUCUCGGCGUAUUCUUGCGUUCCUUCUGCACUGGGACAAGACACCACUGCACUAUUGGACUACGGCAAGCUGGUACCGUCCGGUGGAGCUUCAUACAGGAACUACUGCCUUACCUGCUGGUGUCACAACGUUGGAUGAACGCACAAAAAGCGCGGAACGAGCUUUUAUAUAGAGCAAAAUAAAUAUUUCCUCAUUGCACAAA